AAGACUAUACUUCACAGAAUCAUUUCUGUAGUCAGUCUUCUUUUACUUUAAAUGCAAAGUAAAACCACCUA
rnacentral:snoRNA from 12 species